CUCUCCAUUGGCCUGUCAGCCCCUCACAAAGGGAAGAUAAGCUACAGGAACUAUCCCUGUUGUUAAGCGAUGAAUGACUGCAUUGCACUUCCUAGAAAAACCUUCCAACUAUAUAGCAUCACAGAAAAAAAGAUGCCUGAGAUUUAAAUUUCUGAUUCAUAGACAACUUCCACUACUUUCAUUGACAGCCAUGAAACGAAUGAACAAAUACAAUGUACACAGGUCCAACUGACCCCUCAGCUCAGGAACCUGCCAGAAGUGGCAACUUAAAUUACUGUUACAGGAGGUCAUGGAGCAAAACCAUGGUUUCUUAGGGAGCUCAGUUCUUUAAAGAAAAACCAAUAAAUCCAUAAAUGCUGAUGCUGUAUCAAACAUAAAAAGCUGCCAAACAGCACAUCUAUUGGCAAAGCCGUCUAGCAUCAGUGAACACAUCUGCAAGGGCUGAUGGCACCAAGGAUCACAUGAGCGCAGGAAGCACCCAUGGCCCCACUGUAAAUUAGACACUGGAUGAAGAACAAGGAAGCAGGACAAACUCAAUGGCAUAAUGAAGUCAGAACUCAAGGACCUCUUCUUGGCCUCCACCAGCCAUUCCCAAAGAAAUUAUAUUUUAGGCAGACACCCAAAAAGAUCACUUAAUGGCAGGGUAUACUGACUUUAAACAAUAAAAGAGAUAUAAAGUAUAACUUGCAUACAAAUGCACCCUUGAAACUGUUCACGUUCUUCAUAUAUGGAGUUAUGGCUGUUGAAAAGUUGUUCCAACAUGUGAAGAGACUAAAAUUCAGAUUCUACAUACAUCAGUUACUUUUAUCUUACAUUUUAGCAGCUGACUGUUUUAAGUCUUUUACUGUCAUUGUGGCAGUAUAGAAAUGCUGUCUCAACAUGAAGAAAUAUUCCUUGAGGGCGAAGAGGAAAACAUAAAACACACAUAAGAUUUGAAUUUGACUUUUUAAAAACUAUUGCAAUUUAGUGAGAUUUUCAAUUAGAUUAAUCAAAAGUAAUAAUGAUACUAAUGUGGUUACCUCUCUAAAAUAUAGGAGGGGAAGUGCAAUUUUUCAAAAUAGUCCUAUUUUUUUUAAAAGCAGUGUAAAAAGACACAAAAUAAAAUAUGUACUCUCUUGUCCUGGCUUAUAGUCAGGUUAAAUGGAACUAAACAUUCCAUAUUUCCCUGUUUAUAGAAGCUCAUAAAAAUUUACAUUCUUUAGCUGACUCCUUACAAGGUUUUAAUUUCUUUUCACAAAGACACAAAAUUCUGAACCUUCACAAGACUCUCUUUUAUAUACAGCCAGUUGGGUUAUGACUUAACUGUAACUAGGUUUUAAAAGAGUGUUACUUCAAUCAAACAUUCCUUGACGUUUAUGUGAAUUUAGGUCAAAGAAGUGGGGAAAUGUAGGAGAAACUAUCCUCCACAUAAGAACUGGACAGAUUACAAUUAUUGCUAUCCCUCCCGGUCAAUUAAAAACAAAUAGGUGCUUGCUUCAACACCACAUAUACUAUUAUAAAAUUGGAAUGAUACAGAGAAGACUGGCAUGGUCCCUGCACAAGGAUGACACACAAAUUCAUGAAGCAUUCCAUAUUAAAAAGAAAACAAAAACAAAAACAAAACAAAACAGAUAGGACAAAAAAAAGAUGACAAUAAGCAAGUGAAGAAUCAUUGGGGAAAUGCAAGUCAAAACGACAAUGAGCUUUCACUUCACACUCACUAGAUGGCUAAAAUCAAAAAGACAAGUAUUGGUGUAGCAAUUGGAUUGGUAUACCAAUUCGAUCGGCUUUGCUAAUCAAAAUAACAGGUAUUGGUGAGGAUGUGUUGAAAGUAGAACCCUCGCACACUGCUGCUGGGAAUGCAAAACAGCGUAGCCGCUAUGGAAAAUAGUCUGGCUGUUCUUCAGAUGGUUAAACCCAGGUUACCGUAUGAUCCAGCAAUUCCACUCCUAGAUGCCCAACGUUGAAAAUAUAUGUUCCCACAAAAACUUAUACAUGAAUGCUCUUAGCAGCACUGUUCAUAAUAAACAAAAAUUGGAAACAACACAAAUGUCCAUCAAUUGAUAAAUGGAUAAACAACUACAGAAUACAAUGAAAUAUUAUGUACCAACUUUUAAAAAAUGAAGUAUGAUCCAUGCCACAGCAUGGGUGACUCUUAAAACCAUGCUAAGUGAAAGAAGCCCCGCAUAAGGAUCACAUAGUGCAUGAAUCCACUGCUAUGAAAUGUCCAGAACAGGCAAAUAUCUAGAGACAGAAAGCAGAUUAACAGUUCCCUAGGGCGCCACUGCAGUCCGCAGUCCGGCCUGGGCAACAGAGCGAGACUCCGUCUCAAAAAAAAAAAAAAAAAAAAAAACAGUUCCCUAGGGCUAGGGGGUUGGGUGGAGCAGAGUUCCGGGGUGAUGGCUAAGGGGUCCAGUGUUCUUUUGGAAAGUAAUAAAGAUGUUCUAAAAUUGACUAUGGUGAUGGAUGCACAACUCUGAAUAUACUGAAAACCACUGAACAUUUUAAAUGGAUGAAUCAUUUCAUGUAUGAAUCAUAUCCUGAUAAAGGUGUUUCUUUAAAAACAAGACAGCACAUAUCAGAGGGUACAUCAAUCCAAAGUUGAAUUUCUCUUGAAAGUACCCUAAUUUCAAUACCGUUAUCUUUCCAAAACAUAUCACUACCCUAACACAGCAAAUGCCCAAAAGCACUCCUGGCACUGCAUAUGCAGAAGAGAGGACAGCUAAGAAUGGUAAGAUGAUUUCUUCAUCAAGAGCCAGUUAAAGCUAUUCUGCUUUAAAAUUAAAGAGCACUUAAGGGAAAUCUUUUGUCUGGUCAAUAACUGGUUCAUUUAUUAUGUUAGGGAGGUCUGGACCUGAGGGCCAAGCCAUCUAUCCCAAUUCAUUCAAAGAAAUUUAUUUUGCAGAUGUUUUCCCACAAAAUUUUCAUCUCUGCUUUAACCACAAAGUUCUCAAGAUCCAAGAAAAAAAUACCAAUUGGAGAAAAAAAUCAGAGGAGGGAUGGAAAAAGGUUAACAGGAGAUAUGAAAUUUUAUUCAUAUUUAAAAAUCGGCUCUAUUGAGGCCAGUCUAGUCAUCUCAACAAUGUAGGAGAUUUAAAUUUUAAAUGUAAAACCUAAAGAUAAACAUUACAUAAAGAGCACAGUGCAGAGUACCUCUAACAGAGUACUCUAGCAGAGUACCUUUAACAGUGUGCUACACGGGAAUGAAUUCCUGCUAUAUUCCAAAUACUGAGCACAGAACUGAGUCACAUGGUCUCAUUUAAUCUUGUUGUUGUUGUUGUUGUCGUUGUUGAGACGGAGUAUCACUCUGUCGCCCAGGCUGGAGUGUAGUGCCACAAUCUCGGCUCACUGCAACCUCUGCCUUCUGGGUU
rnacentral:lncRNA from 10 species